rnacentral:misc_RNA from 1 species
GGGACUGGGAUUGUGUGCGUGAGCAUGAAAGGUGAAGAUCUUGAAAGGUUACAACUCCCUCUGAUGGUAACGCAAAAGGAAAAUGAGGAGAAGCUUUCUACAGCAUUCACUGUUUCAGUGGAUGCUAAAGUGGGUACAACUACUGGGGUUUCGGCUAAAGAUAGGGCUAAGACAGUAUUGGAUCUUGCUUCACCUGACUCAAAGCCUGAGGACUUUAAUCGUCCUGGCCACAUUUUCCCCUUGAAGUACAGGGAGGGCGGUGUGUUAAAACGAGCUGGGCACACAGAAGCAUCAGUUGAUCUUGCUAUGCUGGCCGGCCUACCCCCUGUUGCAGUUCUUUGCGAGAUUGUCGAUGAUGAUGAUGGUUCCAUGGCCCGGCUACCGAAGCUCCGUGAAUUUGCAUAUAAGGAAAAUUUAAAGAUCAUAUCGAUUGCAGACUUAAUUAGAUAUCGGAGGAAGAGAGAUAAGCUGGUUGAGCGUGCUUCUGUCGCACGCUUACCUUUGAAGUGGGGUUCUGUUCAGGCGUAUUGCUAUCGGUCACUGCUUGAUGGGAUGGAACAUAUUGUCAUGGUUAAAGGUGAUAUUGGAGAUGGGCAAGACAUUUUAGUAAGGGUGCACUCCGAGUGCCUCACGGGAGACAUAUUCGGAUCAGCCAGAUGUGACUGUGGAAACCAGCUAUCCCUAGCAAUGGAGCUGAUUGAGAAAGCCGGGAGGGGUGUCUUAGUGUACCUUCGCGGACAUGAGGGUCGGGGCAUUGGCCUUGGCCAUAAGCUCCGUGCAUACAACUUACAAGAUAACGGGCGUGAUACUGUCGAAGCCAACGAAGAAUUGGGAUUACCCGUGGAUUCAAGAGAGUAUGGUAUUGGUGCACAGAUAUUACGUGAUCUCGGUGUUCGUACGAUGAAACUAUUGACAAACAACCCUGCUAAGUAUAUCGGGCUAAAAGGAUAUGGGUUGAGUGUGGUGGGAAGGGUUCCAUUGCUAACUCCGAUAACGAAGGAAAACCAGAGAUACCUGGAAACUAAAAGAAAAAAGAUGGGGCACGUCUACGGGACGAAAUUCAACGGUCGCUUGAGUAUCGAUAUUGCAAGUAGUGGCGAGGAGGUUCAACAACAGGGCAUUU